AGAACGAACGUUAGCGGCGCGCCUAACACAUGCAAGUCGAGCGAGAAAGGGGCAACCCCGGUAAAGCGGCGCACGGGUGAGUAACACGUAGGUAAUCUACCCUCGGGUGGAGGAUAACCUUCCGAAAGGAGGGCUAAUACUGCAUGAGACCACGACCUCGAAAGGGGAUGGGGUCAAAGCCGGCCACUUUUCAAAAGCUGGCGCCUGAGGUUGAGCCUGCGGCCCAUCAGCUAGUUGGUAGGGUAACGGCCUACCAAGGCGAAGACGGGUAGCUGGUCUGAGAGGAUGAUCAGCCACACUGGAACUGAGACACGGUCCAGACUCCUACGGGAGGCAGCAGUGGGGAAUCUUGCGCAAUGGGCGAAAGCCUGACGCAGCGACGCCGCGUGAGUGAUGAAGGCCUUCGGGUUGUAAAGCUCUGUGGGCGGGGACGAUAAGGGUUGGCUAAUAUCCAACCUGAUGACGGUACCCGUUUAGCAAGCACCGGCUAACUCUGUGCCAGCAGCCGCGGUAA
rnacentral:rRNA from 1 species